UAUAAACUAUUCCACGUGUCACUAUUAAUAAUAAUUAAAAAAAUGAUUUUCAAAUUUAUCUUUAAUAUUCUAAAGUUUACUAUUAUAGUAUACAAAUCCUGACAUUUUUCAGCCGCUUAAAUGGCUAAACUUAUCUCUAUGUGCUUCUCGGAUAGAUAAACUGUUCGGCCUCGUAUAGUUGUUAUCGUUUAAGAUUGUAAUUCAGUCGAUCAAGUAACAUCGAAGAUAAAGGAAAGAGAUAAUAACAUCGAUGAUAAACGUGAUACAAGUAUAGACACGUGUAAUACUCGUUGAUAGAGGAUAUAACGGAGUAGGAAAAGGAAUUAGUAUCGUGCAGGGGUCAGGAAGAACAAGCUACGACUUGCUAAGACGGCGGACGAUAUCGAAUAAACAAACGAACGAGUGGGAGGCGGAGGAAGUGGCGGAUAUUAAGGUCUUCGUGACGGAACUUGCCUCGUAUUAUAGCGAGCUAAGUGAGGAGGUCUCCUCGUCUGGUCGAACUAAUUCUAUUACUUCGUCCCUUCCUUCCACCACCAUACGUCGCUUCUAUCUAACCGUGGAUCAUCGCUGUUAGACCAUUCUCUUUCGCUAGAUUGUCUUUGGGACAAUGUAGCAUCGUAACAACCUCGGUGACAAGCUACUGAUAAAUGUGUCCUUCGUUUCAAUUUUUGUUCUCGGCGAUUCCAUUACGAAAGGGUUGCGGUUGAACUAUGAACUUUGACAAAUUCUCCCUUAUUAGUGCGAUAUACAGAUUUAGAAAAGUUUCUAGCAAAUUUGUGAUAAGAAACUGAGAUAUUUAGAAAUCUAAACCCGCUUCAAUCUUUGUCCUGCGGAUUUUAUUACGAAAGGGAUAUGGCUGAACUAUGAACUUUAAAUAACUUCUGCCACUUCAACUUGCUUAUCACGAUACAGAAAUUCAACAGUAAAGUGAAGAAAUUUCGGAAUUUAACGUGAUAUGAAAUUAAGAAAUUAUCAAAUCUAAAUAUCUAACGUGAUCUAACGUAUCCAACGUAUCAAAUUUAGAAACUUGGAAAUUUAAAUACCUAAUGGUGAUACAUAAAAAAGUUGCGAUAUCGCGUAUGAGAUAAAAUUUUCGACCGAAGACACACGAACAGCACCAAUGUGUGGAAUUAAUCGUGAUCAAAGUUCGAAUUCGAUGACCGAAAGUCUACAAGGGAGAACCAGAAAGGGUGACGACGGGCAGAAAAAGAGGAAAAGUUAGGGGAGGAAAGUUAGAGGUGGUCGAAGCAAGAGGUGGUCAGGUUGGGGUGCCAAUUUGCGAUUCCACGCAGCAAGAAGGGCGUGGCGGGCUCGCGCAUAGGGUGGCUCGCUCGUUUGCGCGACAUUGUCGGGCAACCCUAACCUUCUGGCUGCCCCUGCCAUCUUUCUCUCGACGAACCUCGUUCGCGUUAAUCUCAUAAUUCUCUUAUGUGGAUGAAAACCAAUGAGUUCGGCCUUGAAGGCCGCAGCUCGAGAAAACGAUGUUUAUGAACCAAAUGAAAGCGACAGUGUUGCUUUUGCGAUGAUACAGAACCUUCGAGAUUAUGGGAACACGCGUAAUUGAUUAUUGAAAUCUCAUUAAAAUAUAUUAAUGGAUAUGUGGUUGAGAAUUAUCCAUUUUAUUAGAUGAUUCUAUCGUGAGAUCGUUAGAUUUCGUUCAUAAAAGAACCGCUAAUUGCUUCGCUUUAUUUUUAUUUAUACAAGAAAAGAAUUUAUAGUCGAGUGUUAGUCUUUCUUCGUUAACGUAUAACAUUAAUUUGUAAUGAGAUGUUCGUCUUCAAAUUUCUCAUACAUCUUUCUUCCACGUGUUAAAUGCUCUAUGCUCACGUAUUAAUUUACAAAUGAGCAUAUUGCAUAAACUUCUUUCUUAAACGAUUAGCUGCUACAUAUUCUGCAACACUUUGUAUAAAUAUUACUUCCAAUGCAUUAAUAAUAAUUCAUAAGGAAGAAAUUAUAACGUCUAUUUCUUGAAUUUGACGUACAUUGAUUCAUCAAGGACCGACGUUACGUUAAUGUGAUAUUUCUUUCGCAAUUUUUUUUAUUAGAUAAUUGAUAUUAAUCUGUAUAUUAAUACCGUAGGUGUAAAAAAAGAAUCGCGAUUCCUUAUAUUAUUUCUUUUCUUACUUAGAUCCUACAAUUUCCUGAAUAACAAAUUUAACUACUUUUUUCUAAAGUGUACAAAUAUUUUUUACAUUACAUACAUUUUUACAUAGUCGAUAAUGGACUAAUGGAUAAAUGGAUAAAUGGAUGAAUCGAUCAAUAAUAUGGCACCUCUAUCAUUUCUUUCUUAAUAAUUUCGAUUAAGUUUAAUCCGAUCUAUUUCAUAACGCCUGAAACAAACGUAAUCGAUCGGGAUUAUCAAAUAUCAAGCAUUGUCAAAUCGUUUACAAAGAGAGCGUAGCGCCGCCGUUAGUGUACUAUAACAUAACGGCUUUAAACGUCGAACUGUUGCGUCGCCUUCUGGACAUCCAGCUGGCGAAGUUGCAUAGCGCAGAGGCACAAAGGUCGAAAGGAAAUGAACGCAGAACUCCGCCCAACGGAUCGUUUGUCUCGCAAGGGGUUGAAGCCACGUGGCAGAAAGACGCACGCGUCCUUGGUAAAUCAAAUAAACGCGACAAAACGAGAACUUGACAUAAUCUAACAAUCGGUCGGGGACGCUUGUUGCAUCAUGUUUUCGCUUUCGAGAUGACACAAUAACCAAGACGAAUUUACAUGGAAAUGGUAGUGCUUAUUACAUACCUGGAAACGGUGUGACCGUGCCCAUAUGAAUAUUCAAUACGAAAUUAAACGGGUAGACGACGUUUCGCACAUAUUAAAUAACAUGAAGCAAGACAAAUGAAAAAAGAAAAAGAUGGAUGCCGGAUGCAUGCAGCAAUUAAAUGCUUCAACGCAAAACGAGCAGUUUCUUUUAAAUUGGAAAAAAGCGAGACCGACAGCUCAAAGUGCACGCAGUUUUCAAACAAUCUUGGUCACUCGAGAUACAUAUGUGUGUAAAUAAAACACAGGAAGAAUAUCGAAGAUAGUCGAUAUCUACGAAAUAGUAAAUAAUUUGCUAAAGAUAGAAAUAAAACUGUAUUGCGUUUAAUAAUAUUACAUCACACUUACCGGUAGGACGAACGUAGGAAGGCAUCGUAUGUAAUUGUGGCCAUUGCUUCAAGAAUCGGCGUAUAUCUAUGGUAUGUGCUUAUAGUCCAAAGAAAUCAAUCGAAGAGCUGAACGAAGAUACAGUACAAAUGUACAUUUUGGAAAAAUUAAAUAAAUAUUAGGAAAAUGUAUUAACCAUCCAACAAUUCCAUAAAUUGAAAAGUAGUUGAAAAUGAUAGGUUAUAACUAUAUAUCUUGUAUUCUAAUGUUUAUGAUUAGGUAUAUUAUGCCACUUUUAUGGAUGGAAGGUAGAAAGAGAUAAAUGGAUAUAAGAAAUUAAAUUAUUUGGUCUUUGAGAAAUUGAACGCUAAUUACAUACGUAGAUAAUGAAAUGGAGAAAUUAACGGAGACUGAAGUUGAGCGGUUUGUCUUCUGAUUGUGAGAAACUCAUAUGGAAUCUGUACUUAUCUAGAAAAAUGUUUUUUCAUAGUAGUAUCGACGUGUGAUUUUUAAAUAUCUACGAACAUAUAUUGCAGAUUAUAAUACUUUGAUUCUGGCAUCCCUCUAAACCGCCCAAUUAAAAAGAAAUCUAUAACACAAUAAUAUAACCGCAAAUUUUACUAUUUCACAUCCAUUAUAAAUGAACUAUCUACUAUUUCUGAGCUUGGAUGCAAUUUAGAGGCACGAUUAAAAAGAAUCUCAAAUUCCUGUAAUUAAAAAAUCUUCGAGUCUCGUUAAAAAGCUAAAUUCUCCAAACAAAAAAUCCAUCCUAGAAAUUUGUAUGUAAGUCAGAUGGAAGCGCAGAAACACGUUCACAGGUUCCUUCGAAAAAAAGUCAAGUGCGCCGAACCGAUCUGUCUACGUCUUCCUUUAUUCCGGGACGUUAAGAAGGGUUAAGGGGAUUAGGAUGAGACCAAAAGGAUGGCUUCCCCAGUCCUUUUUUAAAGGCACGCUGCUUUGGAAAAAGGUAGACUCGGAGGGGCUACCUGUCGAGUAAAACCACGCAAAAAUAAACAGAUUUGAAGGAACGUUUAUCCAGCGGAACGGUAGUCGUAUAGCCGAGUGAAUUUAAAAGCCAUUGGACAGCGGGCGCGCGUCCGACCCUCUGACCCACUCUCGUCGAGUGGGGUCACUUUAGAAAAGGGCUGGUGACACUAAUCUGACGUUAACAGGACCGCGGUAAUCUUAGAUCCUUAUCUCGUCGACGAACAGGGACAGAAUUAUCGGCUGCUCGAUGAGCUAAGAGCCAAAAUUUCCUUCAUUUCCUCUCAUCGUUCCACUUACUCUCCUGCUCCAGUUUAACCCUUUUAUAGGAUCGUAGGGAAUCGAGCGAUAUAUAAAUUAGCAGUGUCAGAUUGACGGAUGCAUCUGUUUGUUUUUCAUGCAUGUUUCAAGAGGCUUGAACGUACGAGUCUAUAUACCGAGGGCCACUCUUUUGUCGAUACUUCUUUUGUCGCACGACCGCGAACGACGUUAAGAAAGGCAACAUUUCAUGUAUUAUUCAACCGUGAGGAGAACGUGCCGUACGUUCUCGAGGUGGUCUUGAAAUUUCCUUGUUCUUGGACAUUUGCGCCAUCCGUAUAAUUUUUUAUUCAUAUUUUCUUGAGAUCUCUUUUUAUCGUAACGGUGUAUAGAAAAAUUGUUAGAAUUUUUCUAAAAUGACAAUUAACUUGUUUUUUUAUACUACAAUUUAUUGGUUGCUUCGCCCUCGAUGAAGCGUCUAGAUAUAAACGAGAAGAUAAAUAAUGUCCAUAUUAAUGAACGUUACGAGUACAUAUGGUGGUCGUUGAUUGUCAAUUCCACGAACAAAUUCGAAAGGUUUGAAGUCGUGAAGUGAACGCAUUGGCUUGAGUUGUUCUAUAGACUUCAAAGAAGCACCCUAAGAGUCUCUCUUGCUCCAGCUAGAGCUAUCGAAGGUUGGACGAUUGAAAAUCGUACGUGGGUUCAAAGGAAAAAGGAAAGGAAAGCGAACGCACGAUUAUGCAUUGAAUAAUUGAUCGAGAAAGUUAGGCAAGUCGCCGCACUUUUUUUUGUGAAUCAAAUCAAAGGAAGGAAACAUCGGAUAAGACAAUUAUGUGUAAUUCUGUCUCCUUUGUUAUUUUUUAGCGAGCAAUUGCUGUCGCACAAUCGAAGAAAUCAUCGACGAGGCCUAUUAUUUCAUACGGAGAAUCAUCUAGUCCAAAAUAAUAUUUCAUUGAAGCUAUUAUCUCAAUCAAUAUGUUCUAACGGAUAGAAUGAGCAAAAUAAAGUAGAACCUCGCAAGUAAAGAUAUCACGCGUAUGAUUUUGAACUUUAAUCUGUAAAAACGCUUCGUCAUUCCUUAUAAAAUCUUAUAGGUAUUAAUAGAGGAUUAUAAAACAGUAAUUAAAUGCAAUUAAAAACAUACAGCUGUAUAAGGUUGAGAUAACAGAAACAAAAAACCGGUGUUGAAAAACAACAGCAAAAAAUUAAAUUAAACCGCAGGUUUGAUAAACGGAAAUAAUAAAUAGGUUUGAUAAGCGGAAUUAUAAGCGGUGAUAAGAAAUAGAAGUGAAAGAUGUAUUUAAGAAAUAGAACUGAAAAGCGUAUGUAAUAAAUGGCGUUGAGCAACGUAAUUAAAGUAUCGUGUAUGAUUA